rnacentral:lncRNA from 1 species
UAUUAAGGCAGUUUGCCAAAAGACUGAUGUCAAGAUUUGGCUAAAGUACCUUUUACAGUUUAUCUGGAUAAUUUUGAUGCCAGUUCUAUUUUUCCAGUGUACCCGUUGACCACCUUGUAUCAUCAAGAAAUAUCAUUAUCCAAAUCAUGAAUGAAACACUGAAUGGAACUGUGAGCAGAACUUUUCUAUAAAGAACUAAAAUGGUUUGAUAUCAAAAAGGUCAAUUAUCUCUAUAAUUCUAAGCCAGGAAACUCCACCAUUUGUCUGAAAACAAACACUGAACCAGGAACCUCACAGAAGCCUGUGCUCUCCCAUUGACUGGAAGAUGCUGCUGUAGUGGCCUCAACAAGAUCUUGGUUUUCAUGACAGCUGGUUAAGGUAUGUGCUAUA